rnacentral:rRNA from 1 species
AUUGAACGCUGGCGGCAGGCCUAACACAUGCAAGUCGAGCGGAUGAAGGGAGCUUGCUCCUGGAUUCAGCGGCGGACGGGUGAGUAAUGCCUAGGAAUCUGCCUGGUAGUGGGGGAUAACGUCCGGAAACGGGCGCUAAUACCGCAUACGUCCUGAGGGAGAAAGUGGGGGAUCUUCGGACCUCACGCUAUCAGAUGAGCCUAGGUCGGAUUAGCUAGUUGGUGGGGUAAAGGCCUACCAAGGCGACGAUCCGUAACUGGUCUGAGAGGAUGAUCAGUCACACUGGAACUGAGACACGGUCCAGACUCCUACGGGAGGCAGCAGUGGGGAAUAUUGGACAAUGGGCGAAAGCCUGAUCCAGCCAUGCCGCGUGUGUGAAGAAGGUCUUCGGAGUGUAAAGCACUUUAAGUUGGGAGGAAGGGCAGUAAGUUAAUACCUUGCUGUUUUGACGGUACCAACAGAAUAAGCACCCGCUAACUUCGUG